CCUACGGGAGGCAGCAGUGAGGAAUAUUGGUCAAUGGGAGAGAUCCUGAACCAGCCAAGCCGCGUGAGGGAAGACGGCCCUAUGUGUUGUAAACCUCUUUUGUCGGAGAACAAAACCCGGGACUAGUCCCGGACUGCGUGUAUCCGAAGAAAAAGCAUCGGCUAACUCCGUGCCAGCAGCCGCGGUAAUACGGAGGAUGCGAGCGUUAUCCGGAUUGAGUGGGUUUAAAGGGUGCGUAGGCGGUCUGUUAAGUCAGCGGUAAAAUUGCGGGGCUCAACCCCGUCGAGCCGUUGAAACUGGCAGACUUGAGUUGGCGAGAAGUACGCGGAAGGCGCGGUGUAGCGGUGAAAUGCAUAGAUAUCGCGCAGAACUCCGAUUGCGAAGGCAGCGUACCGGCGCCAGACUGACGCUGAGGCACGAAAGCGUGGGGAUCGAACAGGAUUAGAUACCCGAGUAGUC
rnacentral:rRNA from 1 species